GGACGAUCCCAGACACCAGAACGUGUGUGUCCUGUUUCACAGGUUAAAGACUUUUUGAAGUAAAGAGGAGCAUCUCAUCUGAACCUGAUGUCUAUCAUGGAUAUUUAACUGCAGUUCUGUGAGUAUCCCAACUUAACCAUGAAGAUGAACUGCAAACUGUAAGUCAUAAGUUUCUCAUUACUCUUGGGCACAUUGAUGUAUUUUGGUUUCCUGGUGAGUUAACCCGUUACCUGAAGGUUGAUCUGAAUAGUAAGGAUGUUUUUAUUGGUUCAUGGGUUACAUUGGCGUUUGGUUUGGUUUAUGUUGGUUUUAAUGAUUCGUUAAAAUGGUUACAGGCUCUAAGUUAUUGUUGUAAGCUGGAGUAAUGGGUUGGGCUCUGAUAUCUUCAGUCUUCUUUCCAGCUACUUUCCUGAGCUCUGCAUCUUCAUCAAAUAAGUGUUGCUUUACUGAUGAGCGUGUGGUCUGAGUGAGCAGAGGUGCGUACUGGGAUACAGAGCUGUCUCAAGUCUACAGGUCUGUAGACAUGCCCCCUCAAGGGAAACCGAGUGUUUGAGAAACCGUCCUGACGUCAGUUACAUGGUCUAGAAUGUUCUUAAAGAUGGAGACAGGGAUUCAGAAGGAGAAACACCAGGGGGAGAUGAGGGGGCUCCUCAUCUCAACGACUGAAACACAACUUCAGUCUGACACAGAGAACCAUGGAACACAUUCAACAGUCCCCUCCAAGCAUCGUGACUCCUCAGGAACAGUUUCAUUUCCAAGAAGGUCUUAUUUGGGGCCAUCCCCAUAUGGAUCCUGCUCCUCAAGAGCCACCCCCCUCCACUGGGUGGUCUUCUGAACAGAUGACCUCCUUCCUGCUCUCAGGCUGACUAAAGCUGCACCGUUUGCAUCUGUGAAGGCCCCUCAUUCAGGAAACCACUGGACUACAAGGACAUGACUUCAGAGACGUUGAAUCAACCUGAGACACAUUUUGGAGACGCCAAGCAUAAUCCAUCACCAAUGUGGGACGCCACUGAAGAAUGUUGUACAUAAUUAACGUCUCUGGAGACAUUGGUUGUUCUGUUCUGGGUGCCCUGGCAAGAGAGCUGGGGGUUGAUGAUGGAAUGAUAUUUGGCAUGAGGUUUUUACCCUGCAUGAUUGUUUGGUCUUUUAUGGCUCAGUGGUGUGUGUGUUUGGGUUUGACAUGAGAUGGAUGAUUUUUGAGCGUCGGUAGGGUUCUACUGUGUGUGUGUGUGUGUCUCUCCCACACACCUGGCAUGGGGUUCUACGCGUGUUUGGUUCCACCUGGCAUGGGGUUCUACGUGCGUGUCCUGGGUUCUAUGUCUGUGCGUCCUGCUUGCUUUGACAGUGAUGAUGUUCACACGGGGGUCUGUGUGGUUGGCUUGGGAUAUUGGAAUGGUCAACUAAAUCAUACCUGACGGACGGCCACAUGUUUACUUGAGGCCUCCAGUAGACAUGAAGAGCCCAGAGCGACGCUACGGAGCGAUAUCCAACACACUGGGCAGGAAGGAGAGUAUCCAACUCAAGUGUAAAAGGAUGCAAGCGGCGUGUUCAGAUCAGUGACUUCAAACUAGGACUACACCAAUCAGGAUCAAUGGAGGAUGGACACCUAAAGGCAUUCCACAAGGAGAGUCUGAAGUUGGAAAGGGACCUAAAUGGGUAUUCAAGAUGACCUUCAGACCUGUAAUGAGACUGCUCUUCCUACCUGGCUGGAUGGAUGGAGAGCCCUGUGGAUCUUGUCUUGCUCUCGGUUGCACGUCUUCUCAGGCUGUACUGUAUUUGUUUCGGACAGGACUAGCUGAACUAUUGGUUCCCUUAAAUCCAAACCAAUCUGGGAACUGCAACUAGUGCGCUCUUCGAGCUGAAGUUGUGCUCUUCAGCCUAGGAGGCAAGGAAACGUUCACUGGGGCUUCAAGGUGUAAAGAGGAGAAUGUUUCGAAGUGUUCCAUGGUACUCUGAUGAAGACCGUUGUUGUGUUCCACUGGCUGAGAGGAAGAACCCUCACAUCUUCCUCUUGGCCUUUCUCCUCUGAGAAUCCUGGCGCCAUCUAGAAGGAUAUUCCAGCUCAUGUAACUGAUGUCACGACAGAUUCUCAAACACUUGGUUUCUCCUGAGGGGCGUGUCUAUAGAACUGAAGACUUCAGACAGCACUGUAUCCCAGCAUGCAUCUCUGCUCACUCAGACCACACCCCCAUGAGUAGGAUGCAACACUCUAGUGAUGGAGAUGUCGAUUUUUAUAAGUAACGAGGGAGCAGACAAAGGUGAUUAGAACACAAUGGCAUGUCAAGUCUGUAAAUCUUUAAACCAUGAAGAUGGUUGGAUAGUUCAGGAGUUGGGCUUCUUUUUUUAUUACGGGCAGUCCUUUCACUCAGAUGCCCACAUCUCACUGGACCUGUGCAUGUGUUGGCUGGCUGGCAUGAUUUGCUGUUGGUGAUGAGGCGGUUAGUGUGACGUUGCAGGGCUAUGGUCGGCUCUCUGUGAGCUCAACGUUUAGAUUUGCUCUGUAUGGUUUGUACCCUGAAUAAUCUAGAUAAUUGUAAAAUGUAGACAUGAUUUUGUAUUGACUGAUUCCAGGAUUUUAGGUUUAAAGCUGUUGUGGGACGUACAUGGUAGUUUGGUUCUUCGUAUGGUUUUGAGUGAUAUAACUUGUACACACUGGGUGCAUAAUAAUAUAAAGGUACACUGAAUAGUAGUAAUUACCAACAGCAACAAACGGAUCUCCUCAAGGUAAGUCUGUUGGCUGUAUUUUAAUGAAGACCAUCGCUGGACUUCAGGAUCUUCCUCCGUUCAGCUCAAGGUGAGGCGCUGGUUAUGUUUUCUUUGGUUGGUUCCGGCCGGAAUGUUCGGAUUCCGGUCGGACGGUUUGUGCUUCCCGCCGUGGAAGGUUCUGAGUGCGGUCACUUGAUUUAUUCCCAAUGGUUAGCAUAGAACGUUGUAGUCUUGAUAACCAUAAGAAACCACCUGGCAGUUAGUUGGACGGGAGUCCCCUGAGGGAAUCUGGCGGAACGUUCUGGAUUGUAUUUGCGUAACCUCGAGCCGUUACCAACGGAAACUAUUUUUCAGUCGUUUCCAUUGGGAAUUGUUGUCCCUUAUCUUAAACAACUUAAGUUUGAUAUUAAAUACAUACUGACACGUACGUCGUACAAUAUGUUGAUAAUUUCCGAUGGUUGCUUGCGCCGUACUUUUAACCACGUUGACGCGACGGGACUCUCGCCGCGUACAAAACGGCGUUCUACUUGCGGGCCCAUUUUUGACAUCAGUGAAGGCUGAAAAUCAUUUCAAGGUGGAAGAUAAUUUGACAUUUCUUCAACGGAACCCAGCACCUGAAUAUGGCGAGUAAUAUAUUUGAUUUAAUAUCGAUACUGCUUAGUGUUCUUUGUUACUUCAGCUUUUGUACGUUCUAAAUAUCUGCUGUCAUUAAUUGCCACAGAAGUUAAACCCUACCCAAUGGCAUGAUGUUAAACAAGUCUUUGGUGCAGAGUUACCAACUGGAUAAUAUCUAAAAUAAUAAUAAGCUAAAAUAAUGGCCGUCCUUCCCACAUGUGACAGUAGAAGAUACUCUAGAACUGUACCUGGUUAAAAAGGUAACCUGUAGUUUGUCCCAAGGUGUCUGCCUCCUCACCAAGAGCAAGACCUCCACCUCCUCACCCAGAGCAAGACCUCCACCUCCUCACCCAGAGCAAGACCUCCACCUCCUCACCCAGAGCCAGACCGCCACCUCCUGUCAGAAGUCCUCCAGAACAGCUGAAAGGCGAGGCUGAGAGGCUGGGGACCGGAGGCUUGUGGUGCCAGGAUGGACCGGAGACUGAGGCUGGAGACCAGGGGCCUGCAGCACCGGACCAGAGGACCAGGAAUCCAUGGCUGAAGGAGCUGAUGGAUUCGUGCUGAAGGCCCUGCCUGGUGGAGGAGCUGAUGGAGGCCCUGCCUGGUGGAGGAGCUGAUGGAGGCCCUGCCUGGUGGAGGAGCUGAUGGAGGCCCUGCCUGGUGGAGGAGCUGAUGGAGGCCCUGCCUGGUGGAGGAGCUGAUGGAGGCCCUGCCUGGUGGAGGACGUCUGUCGUGGGACCAGGACUCUGUCUGAGCAGAGCUGCUGGAGGAGCUGAGACGCUGGAGGACGACUAGGAAUCGACCAACAAGGAUUCCUUAUAAAACGUGUUUCUGGAGCGGAGGCGAGCUGGUAGGGGAGCCGUGAAUCUGGAGGACGACAUCACUCUACCAACCAGGAUCCUCAGACGUUUGUAACCAGACCAGGAAUCUGGAGGACUGAUGGAGAAGCCGUACACCUGGAAGGCAAAUCCUGAGGACAACCAGGACUCUACCAUCAAGGAUUCCUCACACACCUGAGCUGAACCUCACCUGAUCCUGACAUCCUGCUGGUCCCGUCUCCUCAGUUCAUCUGAGCCUCGUCCUCUAGAAGACCUGCUGAGCUCAGCAGUCUGAGGCUGAUGGAUCAAUGACUUCCAGUGGGAGUGAUCUUCUUGACCCCACAUGUAACCGUGUGCUUCCACACGCCUUUCCCUGACGUCUGUCACUAACCUCACUACUUCACUACUCUCUACUGCUUCCUCUUCUUCUUCCUUCUCUGUGGUUCGAACCUUUACACUGGAGGCGCGUCUCCAUGCCCUCAGAGGGUUCAGCGUUAGGGUUGAGAGUCAGGGUUUAGAGUCAGGGACAGAGCUGGUCAGGGAGGACUGCUUUUACACAAACCUCUGCACUUGGUUUCGGAAUGGUGGUGACAUUUUGAAAAGAUUCAUUUGGGAAAAUGUUUUCCUCUGCUUUCCUUGACAAAAAUGUAUUAAACUUCUGUCAAAUGUUUUUGUUUAUAUAUUAAAAUCCCACAUUGACUUCUACAUGUUUGGUGCGGUUCAUUUAAUUGUCCUUUAACUUGGUUAAUGUCAAGCUAAACUCCUGCAAUACAUUUAAUAUACAUGAUUGUUAUUCAGCAAUGUUCACAUAAUCCAUUUUGUAAAAAUAUGAAACCUCCAUAUUACUACUAAAUUGAAGCCUAUUCAUGUAUUUAACAAUGUACAUACUGCCCCGCAGGCCAUUCUCUGGUACAACA